UAUACCCUUAGGGCAGUACUUGAUCAUGAGUUGGUCAGUGGAUAUUUGUGAUCUUGGUUUUUAUUGGUUGUUUGUGUCAGGUUGAAUUUGGUUGGUUUGUAUAUUUUGCUUUAUGUGUUUUACCGCCAAGUUUGACAAUCUUUGUCUGGACAUUGACCAGAACAGACUAUAUAUUUAUAUAGAGAAGUAAUUUAAUUUUGGACCAGACCUUGUUCUUUUUCUGAAUCAGUCAAUGUCAAUUUAAUCUCACCACGCAAUCGGUGUAUGAGCCUGUUCCCAUAGAAUGGGCUUAAAUAUACAUUGCAAAUUUUAAAGUCACUGUGUCCGGAUACGAAUAAACGAACCAUACAGAUA